AAAGUACUCCCUCUGUCCCAAAAUUCUUGUCUUAGAUUUGUCUAGAUACGGAUGUAUCAAGUCACAUUUUAGUAUUAGAUACAUCCAUAUCUAGACAAAUCUAAGACAAGAAAUUUGGGACANUAUCUA
rnacentral:pre_miRNA from 1 species